ACCCCAGUCGCCAAACUGGAUUAAGGCACCGGUCUUCGAAACCGGUCAUUGCAAGUUCGAGCCUUGCCUGGGGUA
rnacentral:tRNA from 1 species